rnacentral:misc_RNA from 1 species
AAGUCGUAACAAGGUUUCCGUAGGUGAACCUGCGGAAGGAUCAUUAACACGUAUCCACGUAUCAACCAAUCGUGAACUCGUUUUCGCAUCUCCCUGUUCGAACAGUUGGAACGGUCAAACAAUUUGAGUGGGACUCUUCGGAGUCACGGUCUGACCCCAUAUACAAGUGUUCGAAUCAGGCUCUUUCUUAUAAAAUCAAAUUCCAUUCAUAUUUGAAUUUAUAGGAGCAAUCAUACACCUAUUUCACACCCUUUUUGCUAGUUGACUUUUUCAUGUGUUGUUGAAAGGAAAAUUGAUUUUUUCUGCUCGCUCACACGUUUAAUUACUUGAACGUUAAAAAUACAACUCUUAGCAAUGGAUAUCUUGGUUCUC